rnacentral:rRNA from 1 species
AAUCAACGCUGGCGGCGUGCCUCAGACAUGCAAGUCGAACGAGAAAGUUCCCUUCGGGGAAUGAGUAAAGUGGCGCACGGGUGAGUAACACGUAGGCAAUCUACCUUCGGGUGGGGAAGUAACCCAGGGAAACGUUGGGCGUAACACCGCAUAAUGCAGCGGCACCACAUGGUGACAGUUGUUAAAGACGGGGAGUUUAGGUACCUCGCGCCUGAAGAGGAGCCUGCGGCGGAUUAGCUUGUUGGUAAGGUAACGGCUUACCAAGGCGACGAUCCGUAGCCGGCCUGAGAGGGCGGUCGGCCACACUGACACUGACAUACGGGU